rnacentral:tRNA from 1 species
GCCUCUGUAGCUCAGUGGUUAGAGCACUGGUCUUGUAAACCAGG